CGCGCACGUCCGCUCACCGUAUUGUCUUGUGUAGCUCUUUGCACCUCUUCUUCGCAGCUCCUGGAGCUCGCAUUUCAUCUUCCUGAGCAGCGUGUACCAGCCCUUUCUUGGCAAACCAGCUCCACUCCCACAGCUGCAGGAAGAGCACUGAUGCUUCACUGAUGACAGGACCGCACAACAAACCAAAUGCCAACUCUUGCAUUAUUGAUGGAUGACGUGCAUCAACGUGUGUUCUAGUUUCUUUUCUGCAGGGAGAUGGCUGCUGUGAUCUUUGAGGUACUCCGCCCUGAAGCCGUCCAGGGACACCAGGAUGAGAGGAGGUCUGGAAAAACUGGGUGGAGGGGGACAGACAGGAAAAAUGAUGCUGUGAGCUUACACUGAGGUGGAAGAGAGCAAGCGAGCCAGCAAGAGAGAGAGAUAGAGGGAGACCUGGAUUGGACAUGCUCCUGGGAAAGACGUGGUCUUUGUGGGUUGUAAA